rnacentral:rRNA from 1 species
CCUACGGGGGGCAGCAGUGAGGAAUAUUGGUCAAUGGACGAGAGUCUGAACCAGCCAAGUAGCGUGAAGGAUGACUGCCCUAUGGGUUGUAAACUUCUUUUAUAUGGGAAUAAAACGUUCCACGUGUGGGAUUUUGUAUGUACCAUAUGAAUAAGGAUCGGCUAACUCCGUGCCAGCAGCCGCGGUAAUACGGAGGAUCCGAGCGUUAUCCGGAUUUAUUGGGUUUAAAGGGAGCGUAGGUGGAUUGUUAAGUCAGUUGUGAAAGUUUUCGGCUCAACCGUAAAAUUGCAGUUGAAACUGGCAGUCUUGAGUACAGUAGAGGUGGGCGGAAUUCGUGGUGUAGCGGUGAAAUGCUUAGAUAUCACGAAGAACUCCGAUUGCGAAGGCAGUUCACUGGACUGCAACUGACACUGAGGCUCGAAAGUGUGGGUAUCAAACAGGAUUAGAUACCCUAGUAGUC